GUCACUUUCUCUCGUUCUCUCUCAAAAUAAAUAAGCUUAAAAAAAACAAAAACAAAAAACCCUACUGGCAUCAAACGAGACUUUCCCGAGAGGAAGGACCGAAGAGAGUUACAGAGGGUAGGAAAUCUUCAACAUAUGAAUCAUUAUUAUUCAAGAUGGCUUCCCGAGGUCUCCUAAACUCCUCUCACGGACCACCACCAAUCAGAUGUGGCUACCGAGAUCUGAAACGUGGAGAAACAGAGACUCAACCAGGACUUCUGGCUCCCAGAGGCCCUCUUCAGCAUCUUGGAAGCCUGAAAAAGAAGUACCACACCUGGGAGAUGGAAAUACUGCGUUUUAUUGUCGGCCUUGUUUUGUUGGCGCGGUACAUUGUUCAGAAAACGGCAUUAAUAAUUCCCUGCCGGUGUCCCAGCCACUGUCUAUAACUCUGACUCCAGGCUCAGUUACGUGACCUGCUUUAGCUACUGCAGUGUUUCCAACUGUGCACACAAAGACGCUCGUGAAGAAGCGCUUGUGUAGUGGGGCUCCUUGCUUAAGCUCUUGGGAACCUGUGAUCACUACCGUGGAAACGAGCCCGGAAGAGCUUGCUGGAUGAUGGACUCACGACCAACAACCGGCCAGCUGCCACAGCUGUGAGUGAAGCCAGUGACCCCCAGGUGCCACAGAUGAGAGGUUCACGCAGGAGCCCAGCUGAAACCAGCGGACGAACUACCCAGCUGAGCCUUGCCCAAUUUGCUGACCCACAGACCGUAUGGUGAAACACAUGGCUGUUGUGUGUGAAGCCACUAGGGUUUGGGGUGGUUUGCCACCCACGCAUCAGCAGAUAACUGACGUGGAUGGUGAUACUCCUGACGAGGAGCCUGGAUGGUCUGAACUCUCCCUGGUGGCCCGUAGAAGGCAGCAGCCUCUGGCAUCAGGACCUGUUGGGCCUUCGUCUAGAAAAGAUUCUGCAACAGAUCCUGGCAGGCCAGGGGCUAUGACAAGGAGCCAGUCUGCCAGGUCGCACAUUUAUCCAGUGCCUUUUAUGUACAAAUACCGUACGCAUCCUGGGAAUGUUCCACGACAUCGUAGACCAUGGGCCCUGUCCUGGAGGGUUUGCAAGCCUUACCAUCAAGGCUUUGCAAGCGGAUGUUCUAGGGAACAAGAAGAGAAAAUAGAGGCUGGAAGGCAGCCUAAGGCUUCCGGUUUUCUGACCAUGCUGGGACCACCUAACCCACUCUCUUUUUAAUCCAAAGGGAUAGAAAGAAGGUUCGUCCCUGAGCUGAAUGUCUAGGGUUAGCUCGGUGCCAGGCACUUGUUCCUAACAGCCUUGAUCAAUGCCUUACGCUACGAAUCAAGGCACCGUCUGCCAAUAUAUUGCCCUCUGGCAAACCAUCUGGGUCUCAUCCGACCUGUCGAUGAAACAAACUGUAGGCAGAGCAGGCAUAACGUGGUCCAUCUGCCUUCCGCUGCUUCCUGGUCUGUGCAUUCAGGUAGGAAAGCAGCCCUUCCUUUCCAGUGACCAUGUAUAGCUGAGGUUCACGGUACCCCUGCUGCUUUGGAGACUCAGCUGGUAUUUCAGGCGGCAGGAUAAUCAGUGAGCAGUUGGGAGCCCAGGGAUGGUCACAGGAGAGACCAGGUACCUUUAAGACAACUCUCCGUGUGACUCUGUUUCCCCUAUGUGCUUUCCUUCCCUGCAGAAAGUCAGCCAGUUAUUGAGGUAUUGAGGUAUUGGGGAGGAAAAUCAAAGAGUGGCAAGCCUCUACCGUCCCCAGCGCGUGGAGAAACUUCCGACCCGGUUGAAAUGGCAUCCACAGUUGCCUGGCUUUUCCUUAGAGGUUUUAUGCCCCAAGUGCCAGCUCGAACCUGCUUAGCUUGUGAGAUGUGAUGAAAUCACCAACCAAGGCAAUGUAGCUGCAAGCGAUUCUUUUUUAUCUCUUUUCAUUUAUGUAGCCUGACAUUGAGUAAUAAUAAUAAUUAAAUGCAGUUUAAGCUGUUAGGCACCUAUUCCAGAAGGCCUCUAGAUACCUCAUCAACAGCAGCCCAGGCUGACAAAAACAAAGCUAAUUAUAUUGUGGUUAACUUUUUUCAAAGAAAAAAAUAAGACCGCUCACCAACGAUCCUCAUAUCUGAUAAAAAGCGGUACAUUAAAUGUUCCGCCCCACAGUCCAUUUGCACGGGACCAAUUUAAAACCAGGUGCCCUUGUCUUAAAUUUGCCACCCUGGCACUAAGUGAUGAAAAGAUGGCUUUAGCCUCUAUUUCCACACCCACCCCUAGCGCUCUGAAAAGUCUCCAGGGUCUCAAUUUUUCCAUAUUUAUUCAUAGCCCCAGGGCCAGUUGUAUUUAUUUAUUUAUAUGUACGUGGAGUGUUAGAAGAGCAUGCUUUGGAUGCUUUUGAGUGAUGCUUCUCACUUUCAAAAGUUUGAGAGGGAUUUAGAUGUGGCAAUCCAGAAUAGCUUCAUCUGAGAAACGGAGCCAGCAGAUUCUGAUGCAAACAAAACAAAAAAAUCUCUGGAGAGACCUGGAAAGAAAGGACGACUGGAACUUAUUGUUAGAAACCUAGCCUCUUGUCACAGCAUCUCUACUGACUUGCAAGAUGACUUUGGCCAAGUCCCAACAGCCCCAGACACAUGGGAAGGCCCUAAAGCUUUUGAUCCAACUUCUCCAGACAGUAUUUCCAAUUCAAAUUCUGACCGCCCAAGCAAAAAUGUCAGUGUUCUCAUUAAAGGAAACUUAGCAGCAA